UACAUGGGGUGCAAACGUUGCUCGGAAUUAUUGGGCGUAAAGCGCGCGUAGGCGGUUACUCAAGUCGGAUGUGAAAGCCCUCGGCUUAACUGAGGAAGUGCACCCGAAACUGAGUAGCUAGAGUACUAAAGAGGGUCGCGGAAUUCCCGGUGUAGAGGUGAAAUUCGUAGAUAUCUGGAGGAACACCGGUGGCGAAGGCGACAUCCUGGACCGGUAUUGACGCUGAGGCGCGAAAGCCAGGGGAGCAAACGGG
rnacentral:rRNA from 1 species